AUGCUGAGUUGUUGUUAUCUUGUUGCAAUAUCAUUUCUUAUUGUUGCACAUCCGUUAGAACUUUUUGUAGUUGCCAGGGGAAGGAUCCGUGUCGAUGCUGACAGUGUUCAAAGGGUAUUUGAUCUUCCUAACAGGGGUCUAAAAGUCUGUUACAAAGUUGACAAGGAUACAACUAGGAGAUUCAGAGAGACCUUCAACAUAACUGGAACUUCUCAUCCCCAGAUCAAUACAUGGACCAAGAUGAUUAAGGAUAUGGGCGGAAGAACGGAUGACACAUUCUUUAUGGCCCGGCUUGCUGUUGCCUUCAGCACUUUCUUAGCACCAACCACGGCCUUGAAGCUCAGCCCAAAGUGCUACAGACUUGUGCUAGAUCAUGAAAACCUCAAGAACACAAACAUCUGCCUUUUUGUAGCAGAACACAUUAACAAAGCUUUUCGGAACAUGGACCAGGAGAAGCAAACUGUCUGCUGCUGCUUGUAUCACUUGAUGAUACUAUACCUUGAUGCGCUUGUCCAUGGCAUCCCAGUAAGCACCUGCGCAAUACGAUCGAAUGCAUAG
rnacentral:rRNA from 1 species